rnacentral:rRNA from 1 species
GAUGAACGCUGGCGGCGUGCCUAAUACAUGCAAGUCGAGCGAAGCGGGGACGGGUGAGUAACACGUGGAUACCUCCUAUAAGACUGGGAUAAAUUCGGGAAACCCGAGCUCAUCCCGGUACUUAUAGAAUGAACCGCGCUGCAUUUGCUAGUUGGUAAGGUAACGGCGUACCAAGGCAACGAUGCAUAGCCGACCUGAGAGGUUGAUCGGCCACACUGGAACUGAGACACGGUCCAGACUCCUACGGGAGGCAGCAGUAGGGAAUCUUCCGCAAUGGGCGAAAGCCUGACGGAGCAACGCCGCGUGAGUGAUGAAGGUCUUCGGAUCGUAAAACUCUGUUAUUAGGGAAGCGGUACCUAAUCAGAAAGCCACGGCUAACUACGUGCCAGCAGCCGCGGUAAUUC